GUUGUCUGAAAAUAGAAAUCAGGCAAGGCAGUGCACUAAAUAUACUCUUAUCAGAUGUGAAACACUCAGUCAUUGAGGGAAAGAAAAAACAAUGGAUACAUUGCUGUGAUAGUUUAAGUUAAUGAACAAUCCUUAAAACGAAAGAUGCAUUUUCAAAAGGUCGCUAUGGAAUUUGUAAUUGAUCAUAUUGAUGACGUCACUGAGUUUUUCCAGGUUAUAUCAUCAGCAAGAAACUAAUAACAAGAGGUUGUGUAAACAUUACAGUUCGAUUCCGUGACGCAAUCAAAAGUAGGGGGUCUCGACGACUCGGUGAUUCAGAGUGAUCCAUAGACUAUAAUCUAUUUUCAGACAAAUGGUGUUCUGUGUGUCACAAAAACGUAACUACCAGGUCGUUUGUCAACAAGUGCGAUUGUUCAAAAAUUAUCCCAAUAGUCGUAGUUUGUUUCUUGUGUUCCGCAAUAUUUCAUGCUUCCUAGUCAAUAUCGAGAAGUUCACAUCGUGCAGCAAUAUCCACAUGCAAUACAAGAACAACAUAAAAGCGGAGUAUCCACCUUGCAUAUUCAUAAACGCAACGCUGAACUCGAUGCAUAUUUUAUCAUCAUCAUCCUUGGAAGAAGAUGAAUAUAGUUGAAAUAUUUUACAAUCUAUGGACGAUGCACUUACUCUCCUUUGUGAUUGGUAGAAAAUGUAUGAUGUGAAAUUUCUAAUUUAUUUCAUUGGUUAGAAUCCUGCUCAACGCAAAGGAGAUAAUUUCUCAAUGAUCUAAUUUACGUACGGCUUAACAAUUUUACAAGAUUUUCAUGCAAUCUUAAAUAAGGGAGAAAAAAAAGAGAACAAAGAAAACAAAAUUGCAAUAAAAUGAAAAUGACUCUUUAAUCUUAUCUAAGAUAACUAUCAAAUACAUUUCUAUAAGCCAACAAAUAACAUAAAUGGUCUUCUUUGCACGCAAACCUUAAAAUUUUGGGCAAUUCGCAUUUAUUUAGUAGUUUUUGUUUCUUGCUGUGUGAAAAAUGAAGCACGCCGAAUAUCUGCUUUUCAUUGAGGUUGAGAAGAAACAAUGCUUUUUAUUUUUAGUACAAAUAUAUCUAUUUCAAAGUCAUACUAGAAAAAUUAUUGUACUUCCAGCAAGCGUUUUUAAAAACUUGAUCUUAUAUGAGAUUUACCAUUUUAAAAAAAGUUUGAUCAUGUGGUCAUUUGAUAAAAAUAUAAAUACUUAAAGCAUAUCAUAAAUUUAUAUCAGUUUACUGUAUGAAGUUGUUCCUAAAGACGGCAAGCAUUGUUAAGCUAUUUAUGUUCCUUAGUUAAUAUGACUUGCCAAGUGGCCUUUGCUUGUUACUUGAUAAAGACAGUGAAAACAGGACAGUGAUGUGAAUUGAAAAAAUGUCAUUUAUUUUGAAAAUGACGAAGUUAUAUAACAGAAUAGCUAGUGGGGGUCAGAAUGAGUCGAAAACAAAAAUACAAGAACAUAAUUAUGUAUCACAUAGGUAUGAUUAUGAUUACCUAUACUUGUUGGCGUUACGCACUCGCUAACUCACCCACACACACAUACGCAAUCACGUUACAAUGCCCUCCCAUACUCUGAUGUACAUGCAAGUGUAUAAAAAUAAAAGCGCCAGAAUACACUCAGUGACAUAAAAGAUACGACGUUUUGUAAUUGUGGUUUUUAAUACAAAAUAGUAUUACCCUCAAAUAUUCGAUAUUUACAUUCAUAUUACGAAUCACCGUAAAACAGAAAGUUAUUUUAUCAAUUUUGUUCUUAAUAUGUUUCCUUUCGAAAUGUGUGGGUGCGGCGGAAAGGGUAAAAAAGACGUUAAUACAAAACGAACAACUAUUUUUCAAAAACAUAUCUUGAAAUACAUCACAGACUAGCUUAAACAAAAUCAACAGACUCAAUUGGAAAAUCAACAAACUCUGUUGCAAAACGAACGAUCACCGAUUUUUCAACAGAACUGGCGCUAGGUGGUGUGCAAAAAAAAAAAAAAACCUACACAAUCGGAAUUAUCGCUAGGUGGCGCGUGGGCCUUAUUAUAUGUUUGCGUAGCAAUCGGGACCGUUUACAUUUUCCGCCACCCAUAGAAAUUCCUGUUGAAUAAUCCACUUCAGCAACACUAAUGCUGAUUGUAAAGAACAAGGUACGAUUGUGUAUAUAAAAAGACCAAUAAAAAUUUUCUCUGUUUUAAAUGUGUCUUGAAUAAAGCUCCAUCUGUGUUUAAGUAAGUUGAAUAUAUGCUAAGUAUACUAUCCCAAAUUAAAUCAAAGUUGUUGCUUAAUUGAUAACAGCAUUCCGUCAUAAAUACGACUUUUCCCGCCUUUUAAAAAAAAAAAAAAAAGCUUGAUAACUGUUAAGUUUCAUCUAGAUUAUUGCUUGGGAAAAGAUGCGCCCAUCUGUCGAGCAAAAUAAAAUUACAUGCAAUAUAUAUUGUGUGUUAACGGAAGAUGAAAAAUGUAUUAGAAUAUGAUUUGCUCGACCCAUGGGCUGUAUGUUUUUCCUGAAACGAAACCCCCCCGAAUUUAUGAUUUUUUUUCAUAGAUUUUGGCAUUUUAGCAAUUUUAUACUAACUUCACGCUCCUGUCAUAUAACACAAAGCAAUUUUGGAUCAAAUUAAACUUAGUUUGGGUUUGCUUAUAUAUUCCUUAUUUGAAUGCCAGAUUUUGGGACUCCUACUAAAAUUAUCCAUUUUCUGGGCCAAAUGACUGUAUAAACUGUACCUGCCUCUUACAACUGUAAUGCUGAUUAUAAAUUCCAACUGUACAACACAAAUGUUGAUUGUAAAUUACAACUGUAAUGUUGAUUGUAAAUUACAAUGUACAACUGUAAUGUUGAUUGUAAAUUACAAGUGUACAACACUAAUGUUGAUUGUUAAUUACAACUGUAAUGUUGAUUGUAAAUUACAACUGUACAACACUAAUGCAGAUUGUAAAUUACAACUGUACAACGUUAAUGCUGAUUGUAAAUUACAACUGUACAACACUAAAGCUGAUUGUAAAUUACAACUGUACAACAUUAAUGUUGAUUCUAAAUUUCAACUCUAGGUUUAAAAUGUUAUACUUCGGGUUUUUUCCUCAUCUUUUUAAUGAAUGAAUAAACCGACAAAACAGAAAUAAAAUAUAAUAAAUCAAUAUAACUCUUAAAAUUCUAUAACGGUAGAUUUUUUAAAAUUGAUUUUCUUGAUAAACACAUUAUAAAUCAUAAUUCACAGGAACAGUCACGUAUCUAAAUUAAGAUGCAUGGUCCUUUUACCUGGAAUACAUGAAUCUGAUUUUAAAUAUUCUCACUCCAAGCAUGAUUUCAUACAAUAGGCAUAGUUUAAGAUAUUUAUAUUGAGCAAUUUUAGGUCAGCGAUAAACCAAUAGUGUUUUAUUGUAUUUCUCGAUAAAAACGCCAACUUUUCAACUUCACAUGAAAACUAUUUAUCAAAUAAAUAAUAAAGAAAGAAAUCAAGUUACAAAAUAUGUACAUGUAAAUACAUGGAUAAGCAAUGCAUUUCUAGAUUACUUUAUAUCAUAGGGGAUAUAAAUAUCAAUGAAAAAUGGAGUAAUUCAGCAUUCAAUGCUGAAACAACAUAUAUGUAUAUUAUUCAUUAAACGAAUCCCUGUGUCACUUCUCAGUAUCUAAUCGAUACUUUGUUAUUCAUCCGAGGGUAAUUUUUUUGUAAUGACAUUCCUGUUUGUUCUGCUAAACACGUGGAUAACAACAAACUAUAGUACAGUGUAAUAAACUGUUGUAAACAAAAUUUUAUUGCAUUAUAAUUGCACGUUCCUCAGUACUUAACAGAAUCGUGCUGAAAAGAUCGUAAAAUUUACACGGAAAACGUCAAAACAGUGUAAGAAAAAAAGCACUGCGUACACACAUUGCAUUGUACAUUGUUGUGUUUUCACAUUUAAUAUGACGUUCAUUAACAAUUCGUUUGAUGGUUUUAUAUCAAUGAAAUCCAGGGAGCGUUCUUUAACGUGGAAAGUAUUCAAGACCUCCAGACCCUGAAUAAAUUACUGAGAAAGAAUCUGUGCGAUGGAGUUAACAUAUGUUGAGGUUACGGAUAUUGGUUGGUAUGGUCUAAUUUCUUGACACUCACAAUCUUUGAUGGUGAUUGAUCAAUGACUACACAAAUACUACAUACAAAUUUUCAUGAUCAAGUGUCAAUGGUGCAUAAUAAUUAAUUGAUUAUUUGUGUCCCAUUUACAUUUUGAGGUAGAUUCGUUUUGUUUUAUAUGCUAUAACAUCUGCAGUAAAGUACAGAAAGACUUACAUACCGAUCAAAAGUAAGAAUGUUUGAAUAUUUAUGAACAAUAUUUUUCGUUCUCUCUCUCUCUCUCUCUCCCUCCUUGCCAUUUUCAGCACAUAGGUGCGAUAGUUUAAUGUAAAUUUAAUGCAGUGUAGUUCAGUAUUUUGCAUUGCAUUAAUUGGUUUUGCACUUUUAAGUGCGAGUAGGGAUUUCUGGUCUUAAGCCCGGCACUCAUUUGCUUGUUCACCAUGUGAAAAAGUGGAACAAUUCACAUUUAUUCCAAAGCGCUUUGGACUAAAUGUGAAAUCUUCAACUCAUAAGGUGAAGAUAACGAACAAUGAUCAAUCUCAUAACUCAUAUAAGCAAUGCAAAAUAGAGAGUUGGGCAAAUACAGACCCCUGGAUAUACCAGAAGUGGGUCAGGUGCAAAGGAGGAGUAAACUUCCUCUGUCGACCAGUCACACCCGUCGUGAGUCCUAUACCUUGAUCAGAUAAGCGGAAUAAUUCGUAGUCAAAAUCAAUGUGCCAACAACAGCCAAACAAUCGGUAUGACACCAGUCAGACAGAUAGUGUGUACAGGUAUUGGGGAAACUGGAUCAUUAUAACGACCAUAUAUAUAUCUAUAUGUGUGUGUGUGUGUGUGUGUGUGUGUGUGUGUGUGUGUAUCACUGAAGAGACAUUUUUUGUCGAAAUGCGUAUCUGGUACAUCAAAAUUGGUACCGUAUAAGUUUUACAUAUAUAACACUCGUGCUUCAGAUUUAAAUACUAAAAAAAAAAAAACCCACCAUAUUGCUUUGUGGGCUUACUUUUGAUAAUUACUCUAGAAAAUUAAGAAAGUAGCCUUCAAAAGAAUUCAUAGCAUUCCUACAGGUAUACGUAUUUAAAGAGCUUGUUUUUCGUGUUUACUGAUGAUGGGACUGUUGUUUUAGUAGUCAUUGAACCAAAGCUUAAAAGGUAAAGAGAAACCUCAUAUUCAUAUGGAAAAUGGUUCUAGAAUGUGUGGUGUCCGGAUACGGCCAAUUGCAAAUGCGUGAUUGCGCGUUAGUCACAACACGACUAGCAACGCGACAUCACAACUUUACACAACUUGCCUUCGCGCCGACAAGCAACUCACCUUCGUUUGUUGGCGUAACGGCGCGAAGGCGUGUUGGUGCAUCGCUUGUCCGCGGGAAGGCGAGUGGUGUAAAGUUGUGUUAGCGUAAAGGCACGUUGCUUGAUGGCGUGUUGCUUAUUGGCGUGACAGCGUGUUGUGACUAACUCGCAGUCACGCUUUCGCAAAUAGCCCUAUCCGGACACCAUACGAAUGCCUUUUAAAGUAAGGGCACGCGUGUAAUCAUGUGCAUCUGGUAUAUACUAGAGUUUUCUGAAUACUAAUAUUGUAAAUCAGCAUGAUGCAAUGACCACAAACACAGUGUGACUAACGUACUAGGACGGAUAAUGUUUUCAAGUUACAUUGCGCAAUUUAUAAGAAUUUAAUAUUUAUCAACUUCAAAUGUUUCCUUUCUCUAUUUACGUUUGCAAACUGAUUAUUGCAAGAAAUAUGUGUCCACACAUCAAAUAUUUCAUUUUGUGUAUUUUUUUAUAUAUAGUCCGAAAAAUCUCUGUUUGAGCUUCCUAUCCCACUUCCUUAAACCUAGAUAAAUGACAUAUUGAUUGCAUCAAAUAUAUAUGUGGAAAAUUAAAUUGAAUAGAGUCUAUAAUUGAAAUCAUCAAGAUCAAACAUAAAUCGUACGUAGAUACCACAAAGAAUACCAUUAAUAAAAUUAAAAAGAAAACCCUGCGUACAUAAUUAAUCUACAUCUUUUAACUUCUGAUAUUAUAAUUGAAUCUUUCAGUACAAUCAAUGGAAAUGGUUAACCACACUUCAUAGAGGACUUAUUAAUUUCAUCCCAUUGCAUAUAAAUAAUAAUUCAGGUGUUUGAUAAUUAUUUAUGUUGCCGAUUCUACAUAAAUGUCAAGUUGAAGCAUCUCCGCAUUAAGUCGGUUAGGUGACAAAAUUUCCCGUGACAUAAUAAGCCCAUUAAUGCUUAGCCGGUGACACAAGCGCCAAAAUCAUGUCCCAUUCUAGUUUUUUAUGCGCGAAAUGGUGUUAGCAACUUUCGAGAAAAAAAAAUGACCUCAAUAUCUGAGUCGAUACUUGUUCACAGGGUCAAGUUAGCAACCCUGUAUGAUAAUGAUCGACUGCCGCGUGUAAUUAAGGUUACUUCUAAGUGUUUCAAUGCAGAUGAGAAUCAAGAAUUCAUAGCCCAAUGUUUUGAAUUCAAAAUCCAUAAUAAUCAACAUGCAUUAACUAGUAUGAAGUGAAUCACUUGAUUAUAUAGAUGCUCGACAAGCUCAUGCUCACUACGUCAUGUCAUGUGACGACUAAGUCCAAUGAAAUUUACAUUACAUUGAUCUAGCAUUAGGGCAAACGAUGGAAAAUUCUUGGGCAAUUCUUACACAAUAUAAUGGGCAAUAAAAUUUAUUUUGAUGUUUUUGUAUACUUUGUUCAAUCAUUAUAAAUGAGAGUAAAUUAUACCGAGCGGGACGCUCGAGAAUCUGUCACUCAUGGAGACGUCAGCAUUGCCGGUGAAGGGCUGCAACAUUUUUAAUGUAGGCCUAUGAUCGGCGCUUACGGCCUUUGAGCAGGGAAGGAUUUUCAUCAUGCCACACCUGCUGUGGUACAGGGCCUCGGUUUUUGCGGUUUCAUCUGAAGGACCGCCCCCAUUUCAUAAACUCUCUAUGACAAGUAAGGGGUAGGAGGAUUCAUUAUUACAAGUGGGCUCAGUUGAUAACUUCCUCGAACAACUGACGCGACAAUGACCAUACAGCAUAGCCAAUUCUGUUUUAUCAUUUAAUGUACCAGCCCUGAACUGUUUUGAUGACACUGUGUUAGUUUUCCACGGUAGUCCCCAAUCCAUGGUGUCCUAUUUUGACGUCAUGGUCUACACCAUGUGCAGCAUACAACCUACACUGGGAUAGUUUAAUUGUAAAUCAUCUCAUUAUGAAAACACCUUUAACAUGAUAUAACGUUACAUGAUACAAUGUAGCCUUCAUCCACACUCCAUCUGCAUGUUCACCAACACCGUUAUGUCUAGCACUUCUUUAUGCAGGUUGAUGAUACAAGUUAAAAUAGGAAUAUAGGGUUAUUGAAUUUAUAUUGGUGAAUAUUGGCACGAGUUGGCUGUAAAAAUACACGAGCUUGCGAGUGCAUUUUGACAGCCAACGAGUGCCAAUAUUCACCUAUAUAAGUUCAAUAACCCUUUUAUUUUAUAGCUAUAGUAUUUAGUUGUUAAAUUAUAUCCCUUUUCACUCAAACUACUCCAAAGUAGACGAGAAUUCAUCAAUAUUGGCAUCUAAGGUGAAGGUGUGCAAUAACAGCAUGCAUUUCUUAACUGUUCAAUAUUUAACCCGUCAUUAAUGCAUGAAGCAAACUGAUUUUGUAAAUGGGACAUCAUAAUUUAUGUACAGUAAAACAUUUUGCUUAAGUAAAUAUCAAAUACCGGCUCUGUCAGAUUCGGAGGACCGUCGUCUGCCAUUUUGGCUUGUUUAAGUCGUUACGGUAGCGUCAAUAUUGAACGCUCAUACUCGGAAUGUUUCGGGCGCAUACAAUUUACGCAAUGCAAAGUUAACGUUCAAUAAAUUCUCAGGAUAUUGAACGCUAACAUUCUCUAGGUUUCAUAAUAGACUAUUUAUUAGCUAUAUAAUAAAAUCAAAUAUAUAAUUUAAGGUCAAAAUCACAACGAUAUGGCACAAUCAGGGUUCACGAAUAACCUUGAAGAUUUUAUCAGCUGAGAGAAAUGUAUUUAUCCUAUUUCAUCAGACUUUUAAAAAGGCUGUAUUACAUACAUAUUUUUUACUUCUUAUAAUGGUUUUCAAGAUGAACUGAAACCAGCCAAAAGUUUAAAACGACCCUGUGUAUCAGAUCUAAGCUAUUUUCUAUUUAAUUUUCAUGAAAGGUGAAGAUAACGAACAGUGAUCAAUCUCACAAAUUCCACAAGCAAUACAAAAUAGAUAGCUUGGUAAACACAGACCCCUGGACACAUCAGAGGUGGAAUCAGGUGCCAAGGAGGAGUAAGCUUCCCCUGUCGACCAGUCACACCCGCUGUGAGCCAUAUAUCUUGAUCAGGCAAUAUCCAAUCGCAAUUCAUAACGAGAGUGGAUACAGUAACGGGAGUGUUUGGAUCAGAUACCCUACAAGCCACAUUGUUUACUCGAGUGAUCUGAUACUUCAAAUGUAGCUUUGUUAUCAAUAGAGAAAGGACCUUUUUGGUUUUGGGAUCCAAUGGUCAAAGGUAACGGGCACUACGGGACUUUGUAGACACUCACUGCGAGGGGAUAUGCCCCGCCUUGCGGACCUCGUGUUAUUAGAUGUUUCUAAUCUGUUGACUUUUCAGUCACCUGUAAAGCUCAGUAAUUCUUA